UGCGUAGGCGGAUUGAUAAGUCAGUGGUGAAAACCUUCAGCUUAACUGGAGACUUGCCAUUGAUACUGUUAGUCUUGAGUACGGUCAAGGUAGGCGGAAUGUGUAAUGUAGCGGUGAGAUGCUUAGAUAUUACACAGAACACCGAUUGCGAAGGCAGCUUACUGGGCCAUUACUGACGCUGAGGCACGAAAGCGUGGGGAGCGAACAGGAUUAGAUACCCUGGUAGUCC
rnacentral:rRNA from 1 species